rnacentral:tRNA from 1 species
GUGGGUAUAGCUCAGUUGGUUAGAGCACUGGUUUGUGGUACCAGGGGCCGUGGGUUCAAAUCCCAUUAUCCACCCA